UACGUAGGGUGCAAGCGUUGUCCGGAAUUAUUGGGCGUAAAGAGCUCGUAGGCGGUUUGUCGCGUCUGCUGUGAAAACCCGAGGCUCAACCUCGGGCCUGCAGUGGGUACGGGCAGACUAGAGUGCGGUAGGGGGAGAUUGGAAUUCCUGGUGUAGCGGUGGAAUGCGCAGAUAUCAGGAGGAACACCAGUGGCGAAGGCGAUCACCUGGGGUUGUUCUGACGCUGAGGAGCGAAAGCUAGGGGAGCAAACGGG
rnacentral:rRNA from 1 species